rnacentral:tRNA from 1 species
GGCGGGAUAGCCAAGUGGUCUAAGGCGACGGUCUGCAAAACCGUUAUUCACGGGUUCAAAUCCCGUUCCCGCCU